rnacentral:rRNA from 1 species
UGGGGAAUAUUGGACAAUGGGCGCAAGCCUGAUCCAGCCAUGCCGCGUGAGUGAUGAAGGCCCUAGGGUUGUAAAGCUCUUUCACCGGUGAAGAUAAUGACGGUAACCGGAGAAGAAGCCCCGGCUAACUUCGUGCCAGCAGCCGCGGUAAUACGAAGGGGGCUAGCGUUGUUCGGAUUUACUGGGCGUAAAGCGCACGUAGGCGGACUUUUAAGUCAGGGGUGAAAUCCCGGGGCUCAACCCCGGAACUGCCUUUGAUACUGGAAGUCUUGAGUAUGGUAGAGGUGAGUGGAAUUCCGAGUGUAGAAGUGAAAUUCGUAGAUAUUCGGAGGAACACCAGUGGCGAAGGCGGCUCACUGGACCAUUACUGACGCUGGGGUGCGAAAGCGUGGGGAGCAAACAGG